rnacentral:rRNA from 1 species
AACGAACGCUGGCGGCAGGCUUAACACAUGCAAGUCGAACGCCCCGCAAGGGGAGUGGCAGACGGGUGAGUAACGCGUGGGAACGUGCCCUUCGCUUCGGGAUAUUCCCGGGAAACUGGGAGCAAUGCCGGAUACGCCGAAUUGGGAAAGAUUUAUCGGCGAAGGAUCGGCCCGCGUUAGAUUAGGUAGUUGGUGGGGUAAUGGCCUACCAAGCCUACGAUCUAUAGCUGGUCUGAGAGGAUGAUCAGCCACACUGGGACUGAGACACGGCCCAGACUCCUACGGGAGGCAGCAGUGGGGAAUCUUGGACAAUGGGCGCAAGCCUGAUCCAGCCAUGCCGCGUGAGUGAAGAAGGCCUUAGGGUUGUAAAACUCUUUCGCCGGUGAAGAUAAUGACGGUAGCCGGAGAAGAAGCCCCGGCUAACUUCGUGCCAGCCGCCGCGGUAAGAC